rnacentral:rRNA from 1 species
AACGGGGAUUACCUCAGUAACGGCGAGUGAAGCGGUAACAGCUCAAAUUUGAAAUCUGGCCCUUUUAGGGCCCGAGUUGUAAUUUGUAGAAGAUGCUUUGGGCGUGGCUCUGGUCUAAGUCCCUUGGAACAGGGCGUCAUAGAGGGUGAGAAUCCCGUAUGUGGCCAGUGGCUUUCGCCCGUGUAAAGCUCUUUCGACGAGUCGAGUUGUUUGGGAAUGCAGCUCUAAAUGGGUGGUAAAUUUCAUCUAAAGCUAAAUAUUGGCUGGAGACCGAUAGCGCACAAGUAGAGUGAUCGAAAGAUGAAAAGCACUUUGGAAAGAGAGUUAAACAGUACGUGAAAUUGUUGAAAGGGAAGCGCUUGCAACCAGACUCGCAUGCUGUUGAUCAUCCGGGGUUCUCCCCGGUGCACUCGGCAGCCUACGGGCCAGCAUCGGUUUGGGUGGCAGGAUAAAAGCCGUGGGAAUGUAGCUUCUUUCGGGGAGUGUUAUAGCCCUCGGCGCAAUGCUGCCUACCUGGACCGAGGACCGCGCUUCGGCUAGGAUGCUG